GCGGGAUCGGGAAGCUAGCAAUAGUGACCCGUGAGAGCGGCGGAAGGGCGAGGAACGCGUGGGCAAGCUACCCCUCAGCCGGGGACAACGCCGGGAAACUGGCGCUAAUACCGGAUGUGGUGCUGGACCGCAUGGUCUGGCUACUAAAGGCGGGGAUCCGCAAGGACCUGCCGCUGGGGGAGGCGCCCGCGUGCCAUCAGCUUGUUGGUGAGGUAACGGCUCACCAAGGCUUACGGCUAGGUGGACUGAGAGGUCGGCCACCCGCACUGGGACUGAGACACUGCCCAGACUCCUACGGGAGGCUGCAGUCGAGGAUCAUUCGCAAUGCGCGAAAGCGUGACGAUGCGACGCUGCGUGGAGGACGACGGCCUUCGGGUUGUAAACUCCUGUCAUGAGGGACAAGACGGCCUCCGUUAACACCGGGGGCCACCGAUGGUACCUCAAGAGGAAGCCACGGCUAACUCUGUGCCAGCAGCCGCGGUAAUACAGAGGUGGCGAGCGUUGUUCGGAUUUACUGGGCGUAAAGCGUGCGUAGGCGGUCUUGCGUGUCGGACGUGAAAUCCCGGGGCUCACCCCCGGAAGUGCGUACGAAACUCAGGACUAGGGUCCGGGAGGGGGGAUCGGAAUGCAUGGUGUAGCGGUGAAAUGCGUUGAUAUCAUGCGGAACACCGGUGGCGAAGGCGGAUCCCUGGAACGGUACCGACGCUGAGGCACGAAAGCGUGGGGAGCAAACAGGAUUAGAUACCCUGGUAGUCCACGCCGUAAACGGUGCGCACUUGGUGUAGGCGGAAUAGACCCCGCCUGUGCCGCAGCAAACGCGUUAAGUGCGCCGCCUGGGAGUACGGCCGCAAGGUUAAAACUCAAAGAAAUUGACGGGGGCCCGCACAAGCGGAGGAGCAUGUGGCUUAAUUCGAUGCAACGCGAAGAACCUUACCCAGGCUUGACAUGCAGCUGCACGGCCCGUGAAAGCGGGUCUCCUUCGAGGGUGCUGCACAGGUGCUGCAUGGCUGUCGUCAGUUCGUGCCGUGAGGUGUUUGGUUAAGUCCACCAACGAACGCAACCCCUGUGUCCAGUUGCCAGCGGAUAGCGCCGGGGACUCUGGACAGACUGCCCGUUCACACGGGAGGAAGGUGGGGAUGACGUCAAGUCAGUAUGGCCCUUACGCCUGGGGCUGCACACGUGCUACAAUGGCCGGUACAGAGGGACGCCAAGCCGCAAGGCGGAGCAAAUCCCCAAAACCGGUCCCAGUUCGGAUUGCGGUCUGCAACUCGACCGCAUGAAGUUGGAUUCGCUAGUAACGGCGCAUCAGCUACGGCGCCGUGAAUACGUUCCCGGGCCUUGUACACACCGCCCGUCACAUCAUGAAAGACGUCUGCACCCGAAGUCGCCGGUCCAACCCGCAAGGGAGGAAGGCGCCGAAGGUGUGGGUGGUGAUUGGGAUGAAGUCGUAACAAGGUA
rnacentral:rRNA from 1 species